AACCGAAAGGAGGGAGCUGCCGAAGGUGGGACCGAUAACUGGGGUGAAGUCGUAACAAGGUAGCCGUAUCGGAAGGUGCGGCUGGAUCACCUCCUUUCUAAGGAA
rnacentral:rRNA from 1 species